UUUUUUUUAAUGCUCCCCGGGUGUGUCAGCUAUUUUUAUUAUUUUUUUUUUCCCUCCCUUCCCCCCACCCCGCCACUCCUCCCCCUCGCAACACCCACCGCCGGCAGCGGGGAGGUAAGAGGAGGAGGAAGCGGCAGGGUCUGGGCUGCCAGCAGCGGGAGGACAAAACCCCCAUGAAAUAAAUACAAUCCCACAUCCAGCUGGGAGGAUGGGACGGGAGCGGCAGCGCUCCGCCGGCCCUCAAUGGGGGUUUCAUUGAGCGGAUAUUUGGGCUGUGCUGCGGAGCGGUCGCACCGAGCUCGCCGCACUCUUUUCAGGUUCUGGGCGCACCUUUCCUCUCCUUGGUGGAACUACCGUAAAAUCCGCCUCUAACAGGAGCCCCCAGCCCGGGAAUCGACACGGACAGCCCCGCCAUGCCGGGAAUGAUCAGCAAGAACCCAGACCUCGAGUUCGACUCCUUACAGCCUUGCUUCUACCCAGACGAAGAUGAUUUCUAUUUAUGCGGGCCGGACUCGGCCCCCCCCGGGGAGGACAUCUGGAAGAAGUUCGAGCUGCUGCCCACCCCUCCGCUGUCCCCCAGCCGGGCCGGGCUGCAAGAGCACCCCCCGGGGGGGGCUCCCUUGCCGUGGGGAGGGGCGGCCCUGGGGAGCUGCCGCCCCUCUGACCCCCUGGACUGGGCGUCCGAGUUGCUCCUCCUGCCCCCCGAGGCCGAGCUGUGGGGCGGCGCGGACGGGGCGGAUUUCUUCGAGACGGGCCUCGGCGCGAGCAACAACCUCAACUCCAUCAUCAUCCAGGACUGCAUGUGGAGCGGCUUCUCCGCCCGCGAGAAGCUGGAGCGGGCGGUCAGCGAGAAGCUGCAGGGCAAGCCGCCCGCCGCUGCCCCGCCGCCACCGCCCCCGGCUGUUCCCGCCGCCGCUGUCGCCGCCGCGAACAGCCCCACCACCGGUCCCGGCCGCGCGGAGCUGGGCGGCUCCGUGCCCGAGUGCGUGGACCCGGCCGUGGUCUUCCCCUUCCCCGUCAACAAGCGGGAGGCGGCGGUGCCGAGCGGCGGUGAGGCCCUGCGGGGCGGCCGCCCGCCGCGUCCCGUCGGGGACAGCCGGGCCAGCAGCAGCUCCGGGGACGACACGCUCAGCGACUCGGAUGACGAAGAUGAGGAGGAAGAGGAUGAAGAAGAAGAAAUAGAUGUUGUGACAGUGGAGAAAAGACGCUCCUCCUCCAACAAGGCUGUUACCACCCUCACUAUUACAGUGCGUCCUAAAAAUACCACUUUCCCAUCGGUCAGGACACAGCAGAAUGAACUGAUUUUAAAGCGUUGUGCACCAAUUCACCAGCAGCAUAAUUAUGCUGCUCCUUCUCCAUACAUGGAGAGUGAAGAUGCUCCACCACAGAAAAAGCUAAAAACCGAGGUGCCCCGUCCAGUAAAACCCAUGAUCCAACCAAAGUCUAAGAGUUCAAGUCCUCGAAACUCUGAUUCGGAGGAUAGUGAACGUCGACGUAACCAUAAUAUCUUGGAGCGUCAAAGGCGUAAUGAUCUACGGUCCAGUUUCCUCACGUUAAGGGACCAUGUUCCAGAACUUGUUAAAAAUGAGAAAGCUGCAAAAGUUGUGAUUUUGAAAAAAGCCACUGAAUAUGUCCAUUCCCUUCAGGCAGAGGAGCAGAAGUUAUUGCUAGAAAAGGAGAAAUUGCAAGCCAGGCAACAACAGUUGCUAAAGAAAAUAGAGUACAAGCGGACUUGCUAAACUUUUUUUCUAUUUUUUCUUUUCUUUUUUUUUUUUUGGCUGACCAGGACAGUCAUUGCCACUUUGCACAUUUUUGAUUCUUUAAAAAAAUAAAUUGUGUUUUUUGACGUUAAGAAUGUUGGUUUUACUUUCAAUUCAGUCCCUGAAGUAAUUGACAAACUUUAUUAUCCGGGUACGGAGCAAAUGGAUGUUCUUGCAAGGAGUUUAUUGUAAGACUACCAAACAACAAUGGACUGCCUUUGUUUUUCUUCUUAAGAACUGUAGAUGGUGGAUUUCUUUAUUUUUUAAUUGUUGUGAGCAUUUGGAGCUGCUGAUGACAUCUAGUUGAGUUUAAAACAUUCAUUCCUAAUUUUUAUGGUGCUUAUGUUCUAACAGAUGUUACUUUAGGGGGUUGGCAUUUGUACCCCUCUGGGAAUUUUCUGUAAAUACCAUCUACACACUUGCCUUUUGUACAUGUCUUGGGUUAUGAGAGGUGGCUUUUGCUGCCAGUAUUAGACUGGAAGUUCAUACCUAAGUACUGUAAUACCUCAAUGUUUGAGGAGCAUGUUUUUGUAUACAAAUAUAUUGUUAAUCUCUGUUAUGUACUGUACUAAUUCUUACAUUGCCUGUAUACUUUAGUAUGAUGCUGAUACAUAACUAAAUUUGAUACUUAUAUUUUCGUAUGAAAAUGAGUUGUGAAAGUUUUGAGUAGAUAUUACUUUAUCACUUUUUUGAACUAAGAAACUUUUGUAAAGAAAUUUACUAUAUAUGCCUUUUCCUAGCCUGUUUCUUCCAGUUAAUGUAUUUGUUAAUGUUUGGUGCAUAGAACUGGGUAACUGCAAAGUUCUGUGUUUAAUUUCUUCCAACAGUGUACAUUUAGUGCUGCGUCUUAUAGCACUUUGAAAUACCUCAUGUUUAUGAAAAUAAAUAGCAAUUACAUGAUGUGCCAUUUACUAUUUUUCUUUUAAAUGAUGUUCCUUGAAAUAAAAUCUUUAACUUUACAAUGUUUAUGAAAUACAAAAACCUAGUCCCACACCAAGGGAUUUGCACUCUCAAAAGUAUAGAUGAUGAUUUAGGAGAAGUCAGCCAGUCAGGACAUUGCCAUUUCUGGUUAAGAAGUAAUUGCAAGAACAAUUUUCCUAUUCUUUCCCACUUUGUAUGUCUCUUGUGAUGUCGGAAUCUUUGCAGGGGCCUGGCCAUACCGCAGCUGACGGAGAGACUUCGAUGUCUUGUGAAGACUUCUCGAACGUGAACAGUGAAGUGUGAGAGGGGCUAACAGACUUCAAUUAAUGACAAUUAAUGUCAUUUCUUUUCUAGCCAAAGAUCAUCUUUUUUUUUUUUUUACUACUAUGCUAGGUUACCAGAAUUUAACAAUACUGAAGACACAGUUAUGAAGUAUGGAGAGCUGUGAAGCCUGUGGUCAUAGGCGUGUAGCCUGGAAAGAAAUUGUCUGUACAGGUACUUCUAAUGUUCUCUUUCUCCAUGCCAAACUUGAAAAAUAAGGUAUGGAUUGGUGAACAAAGGAUGAAGUUGAAAGGAGCUAAUCUAGGACAUGUGAUUCUUACUCAGCCAUGACGCACAAGAUACAGCUUGCUUGGUGGCUGACCUGCACAACAUCUCCAUUUGCCAUGAGGUAAGACCAGUACAAGAGCAAAGGCACCACAGUAACGUGUACCAUAUAUCCGUGCCCUACAAUAACUUGGUGUAUUGUAGCCUGUGUGUUUGACCCCAGCUAACUUCUGUACCAAAAACACUGGGAUUUAAACUUAGGUCUCAGUGCAGCAAACCCGUAUCAUCAACUGGCACAAAUUGGUGCACUGCUGCUUGGAUUCAGCUUGGCCUAUAUGACUUGAAGAUUUCACCUGAAUAUGUAGACUUACGCAUUAUCUUCUCAAAUCAGACUUGAGAACUGCAACAGUUCCAUAAACAGAACCUUUAUUCCUUACCAUUUUUGGAGGACAGAAAAAAGAAAAAAGGUUGCUCAGAGUCGCAUGUAGCCAAGUUCUGAAUGUUUUCAAGGAUGGGAGACUGAACAGCCAGACAACGCUUCAAUUUUUGACUGCCGUGACAAUCAGAUUUUCCUAAUGUCUCUUCGGAAUUUUCUUUGUUGUACCUUAAGUCCCUUGCCUCCUGUCUUUUGUGUUUCACCUCAGAGAAGAGUCUGGCUCCACCUCUGCAACCUUCCAUCAGGUAGCUGAAGACAGCAAUUACUUCUCCUUUCUCGAGUUCUUUCCCGUACUGUUGUGUUAGCGGAGCACUUGGAGUAUAAUAAAGGUGUCAAAUACUUA